UUAGGCCAUUCUCCCUUGACACACAGGCUGGAGGAGCUGUGGGUUGUGUGCUCUUAAGGCAGGAGUGGCAAGAAUGGUGGAAGGAAGCUUGGCUUACAGAGGCUGGUUUCCCCCUCCAGCAUCUAGGAGGGCAAAGGCAUCAAUCCAACAAAGAAUGGAACUGCUUUGGAACACCAGGGCCACCUACAGACAAGGAAUGCUGCUAUAUAUUCAGACAAAUUAAUGGGUUAAACACAUUUUUGGUAGAAAGAUGAACUGAAGACCUAGAGAAACACAGUGACAUCCCCAGUAAUAGAAUAAAAAUGACGACAACAAAAGCCCUAUUUACUGAUGAAGACUUGGGGACUGGGCUAACUCAAACCUCUGGAAGGUCCCUGCUAAAGAGGAUAAUUCCAAAUGCUCCCACUGUGUGCUUCAGCAGGGCACUGCUCAGUGGUAUAACAGGCUUGUCUCAACGCCAUGGAGUGCCUUGAGUGCAGGGAGGUACAGCCUGGGAGCCACCUGGAUUAGCUUCUUUUGAAAUUUUUUAGUUCCUCUGAGAAGCCUGGCUGCUGCUUACUUCCAGCCAUCACUCCAAGGAAACAGCACUGAAGGUGAUGUACCAAUGCUUGGUCAGCUGCAGUACCGCGGAUUCAAGCAAUGGAGGAUGGAAGCUGGAAAAACAGUCAGUACUGAACAUCAGCAGCUGCUUCCUAAUACAGCUGUUUGCAAAGCACGUACCUUAUAACACAUUUUCCAAGAAACUUCGAGGUGGCUUAAAGGGCACAGGAGUGUGCAGGCUCAGUGCAAGCUCUAAGUCAUGUGUGUACGGCGCCCAAGAAUCUGCGGCCGCUGGGACUGCAACAGGGCCCGGAAGCCAAGUCUGCCCUGGGCUGCGGAUGACACUUUUCUUAGUCUUACUCCAACAGAAUUCUGGUCAGGCAUAAUCUUCCUAAGGGAUAUUUCCCAACAUAUCCUGAGAGCUUCAGGGUGGGGAGGAAGUAAGUUACACUCUAUUACAUAUGAAUGAAAAACCACAAGGUAACAGACAAUGCCACGCAUGGACCCACCCUUGUUCAAACAAAGGCAGAGGAAGAAUUCAUGCUAACAAUCUACUGAGAUACUAUUUUGGGGAAUACAUGCACCAUCAGCAAAAAUGCUUCUCCUGGUCUCCAAAAAAUACAGUCCUUAAGUUGCAGGAAUUAACUUACUUUGGAAGUUUUAGCUGCUGUCAAAUGUGGUGGUGAACACCAGUCGCGUUGUGUUCGUUUCCUUCCUCACCAUACUUGCAUUUGUCAUUAGAAAGGAGAACUAAUGAACGUUCUCCUGGGCUUUUGUGUCCUCUGCCCGAGUGUUGAAGGCUCAGACGUAUAAGAAGUCUAUUCAGAUCUGCUCAGACUCUUUCAUGAGGCCUGAAGAAGUGAGGGAGACAACUCCAGAUACAAGUUAUGGACAGUUUGGCUUCUCCCUGGUAAGCCUAAGAGGGGUGUGUGCAGCAAGCAUGUGCGCGCGCGCGUGCAUGCAUCUGAGUCCCAAAUAUGCAGCCACUCUCUAUACUUAGGCAGUCUGCUACAAAACAGGACAGGAGGUUCUGUUUCUGGCUGAGCAUGUGACUUGAGCAGGGUGGAAACAUUGCCUUGUAAGAUGAAGGUUCCGGAUGAGGGGGAGAAACUGCAGAAUAAAGGGAUU